rnacentral:rRNA from 1 species
GACGAACGCUGGCGGCGUGCUUAACACAUGCAAGUCGAACGAUGAAGAAGAGAAACGCGAACUUCGGUUCAAAUUUCACUUCGGAUUAGUGGCAGACGGGUGAGUAACGCGUGAGCAACCUACCUCUUACAAAGGGAUAGCCUCGGGAAACCGUGAUUAAUACCAUAUGACACAUUCAUAAGGCAUCUUAAGAAUGUUAAAGCUACGGCGGUAAGAGAUGGGCUCGCGUCCCAUUAGCUAGUUGGUGAGGUAACGGCCCACCAAGGCGACGAUGGGUAACCGGCCUGAGAGGGUGAACGGUCACAUUGGAACUGAGACACGGUCCAAACUCCUACGGGAGGCAGCAGUGGGGAAUAUUGCACAAUGGAGGGAACUCUGGUGCAGCGACGCCGCGUGAGCGAUGAAGGAAUUCGUUUCGUAAAGCUCUGUUCUAUGGGAAGAAAAGGACUGUACCAUAGGAGAAAGCCCCGGCUAAAUACGUG